AAAGCUCGAGCUUCCAGUCGUCACCUCAUUUCCAGCAACCGUGAGAACCAAUUUAAGUGGUCUCCCCCCGUACUCUGUAGAUGGGACACAUUGGGUUAACUUUAUGUAUAGUCCCAAAUAUUUGAUCACCAAGUUGCUGCUGACAGUUCGCCAUCCGGCUAGCUCAACUGUGAGGGAUAGCAAUCGAUUGCAGAGUGCUUGUUUGGUGCAGCGGCGCAUGUCGGCUGGAGUCAUUGGCAGCAGAGAACUGGAAGGAAAGGCGGCCAAAGGAAGUGUUGGCUUUG